GUGCUUAACACAUGCAAGUCGAACGGAAAGGCCUUUCGGGGGUACUCGAGUGGCGAACGGGUGAGUAACACGUGGGUGAUCUGCCCUGCACUUUGGGAUAAGCCUGGGAAACUGGGUCUAAUACCGGAUAGGACUACGCGAUGCAUGUCGUGUGGUGGAAAGCUUUUGCGGUGUGGGAUGGGCCCGCGGCCUAUCAGCUUGUUGGUGGGGUGAUGGCCUACCAAGGCGACGACGGGUAGCCGGCCUGAGAGGGUGACCGGCCACACUGGGACUGAGAUACGGCCCAGACUCCUACGGGAGGCAGCAGUGGGGAAUAUUGCACAAUGGGCGCAAGCCUGAUGCAGCGACGCCGCGUGAGGGAUGACGGCCUUCGGGUUGUAAACCUCUUUCAGUGCCGACGAAGCGCAAGUGACGGUAGGCAUAGAAGAAGGACCGGCCAACUACGUGCCAGCAGCCGCGGUAAUACGUAGGGUCCGAGCGUUGUCCGGAAUUACUGGGCGUAAAGAGCUCGUAGGUGGUUUGUCGCGUUGUUCGUGAAAUC
rnacentral:rRNA from 1 species